rnacentral:rRNA from 1 species
GAUGAACGCUGGCGGCGUGCCUAACACAUGCAAGUCGAGCGGCAGCGAGGGGUGCUUGCACCCUGUCGGCGAGCGGCGGACGGCUGAGUAACGCGUGGGAACGUGCCCCAAAGUGAGGAAUAACUGCCCGAAAGGGUAGCUAAUACCGCAUAUUAUCUUCGGAUCAAAGGAUUUAUCCGCUUUGGGAGCGGCUCGCGUCGGAUUAGGUAGUUGGUGAGGUAAUGGCUCACCAAGCCGACGAUCCGUAGCUGGUCUGAGAGGAUGACAAGCCAGACUGGAACUGAGACACGGUCCAGACUCCUACGGGAGGCAGCAGUGAGGAAUCUUCCACAAGGGGCGAAAGCCUGAUGGAGCAACGCCGCGUGCAGGACGAAGGCGUUCGGGUUGUAAACUGCUUUUAUAAGUGAGGAAUAUGACGGUAACUGAUGAAUAAGGAUCGGCUAACUACGUG